UACGUAGGUGGCAAGCGUUUGUCCGGAAUUAUUGGGCGUAAAGCGCGCGCAGGCGGUCCUUUAAGUCUGAUGUGAAAGCCCACGGCUCAACCGUGGAGGGUCAUUGGAAACUGGGGGACUUGAGUGCAGAAGAGGAAAGCGGAAUUCCACGUGUAGCGGUGAAAUGCGUAGAGAUGUGGAGGAACACCAGUGGCGAAGGCGGCUUUCUGGUCUGUAACUGACGCUGAGGCGCGAAAAGCGUGGGGGAGCAAACAGG
rnacentral:rRNA from 1 species